AUGCUGUGGUUCAGCCUGACAGCUCAUUGGUCAAUGGGCAGCAGCUCAUUUGCAUCAAAGCUGCAGACACCAGAAACAGAGCAUUCUGAAGGGACUGCAACAGAGGGGAAUAGCGGUAAUGGAGGAGCUUUCUACGUUAUAAAUUUUCAGUCCAAGCUGAGGCUGUUGAAUUCCAUUGACUUUGACUAUAAUAAGGAACCCACAUUUACUGUAAAGCAGGUGUUUGCCCUCAAACCUAAACAGAAAGUUGGAAAGAUCGAGGCGAAGGUUGUGUGGCUGGAGAACUCCAGUAAAAUGGUCAAGGUCCAUGGCAAAAUGCUGCAGCUCAAGGAUUGCCAUGUUGCUGACCACACGAGCAAGAUUAAGCUGCAACUCUGGGGUGGACUUAUUGGCCAAGUGAAGCAGGACGAGUCCUACGUCUUGAAGGACCUGUCGGUCCGUGGAAAUGGAGAGUUGUAUCUGACGUCUACAAAGAACACCACCAUCCGGAUCUCAGGAGGAGAAGCAGGAGAGGAGCAGGUGGUGAAGCAGGAGGAGGAGGAGGAGCAGGUGCUGAAGCAGGAGGAGGAGGAGGAGGAAAAGGAGGAGGAGGUGCUGAAGGAGCUGAAGCAGGAGGAGGAGGAGGAGCAGGAGGUGAAGCAGGUGCUGAAGCCGGAGGAGGAGGAGGAGCAGGACUUGGUGCAGGAGUUGAAGCAGGAGAUGAUCACCACGGUGCGGGGACCAGUCUGUGGCAUCCAACUAGCUGCCCAACGGCAGUGCAGCCAUUGCCACAAAGGGCAGCUGGCCUUCAACCUAACGGACAUAAACCAUCGCUGCGAGGCCUGUGGCUUCUAUCAGAAGGUCGGGUCAUAUGUAAAGGCUGCCACCGGGAAAGUCAUGGUCAAUAAGGGGGAUGUGAAACUCUCGUUGAAAUUGACCUCGACUGUCCUGAUGACAUACCUGAGUCAAAACAACCUCCAGGAGCUGCUUGCAGAUGUGCAGUUGGUGGAGGGGCACUUUUUGGAAGUGGGGUUGUUUGUUAUCCAAUACAAUGCCAACAAUGAGGUUGUCGUUGUCACAACAGGGGAUGUUUGA
rnacentral:lncRNA from 1 species